UCUUCUCUGUUCCCCUCCUCUGUCUCCGUUUCCAUUUCGAGAGAGAGUAUAUAGUUACCGGUGGUCUCGGAUUCGCUUGGUGCAGGUCGGGAACCGAUACGGCAGACAGGGCCUCGUGGCGUUUUCUGAUUGGUCUGUGAGCGUGUCGGAUCCCGCCUUGCAUCAACUGAAUCGGAGGCCGAGGUGAAGGAGCAGUGCGGCCAUAGAUCUGAGCAGCAGAAUUCGCUCUCUCUCUCUUCUUCUCCUUUUUCAGCCCUUACCCUUUACUUUCUUCUUCGUGCUUUGGUUUUAGAUCUCUGGUCUUGGGCCCAUGAUGAAGGAGCUUUCUCCUCUUCAACCAUGGCGUGACCUUGAAUGUCUCGAAUCUAAGUUGUCUGAUCCAGUGUUGGGUUUCUCCAAAUCAAGGCCUUUUAGUUUCUUCUGGCUUUCCCUCUCUGUUUCUUCGAAUUUCUAAUCUCUCUUUUGUUUCAGGGAGCUAUGGGCAUCAGUUCUUAUUUCUGGAAACAUGUGGAUUGGGUACUCAUCAUUUGUCAGUCUUAGAUCUUAUCUUAUUUAGGAAAGAUUAUUUCAGUUGGAGACCCUGAAUCCUUUUUUUUAUUUUUUCCGCCAGAGCGAGAAAAUUUAGGCUUAUUUUCCUUGUAUUAGCCAAAAUAAAUGUAAUCAACUCAGGAUGGUUCAACCGCUAAAACAUUUGUUCAUCUGAAUUUGAACGUUAAGUCUGGGAUUAGUAUGAAUCUUGAUUUAGAGGAUACCGAAUACCAAAAAAAAAUGUAAUCAUUUGUUUUAUAAAAAUUAUGUUUAACUGUUUUUAACAAAUAAUCAGAAUCAUUUUUUCUGGAAAGAAAAAUUCAUGAGAACAGUUUUUUGAGGGGUUUCACUGCAUCUGCAAUGCAUGGACCCUUUUUCCUCUUUUGUUUCUGUUGAUGGAUGCAAAAUGUCAUCAUAUGAUCCUAUUGAUUUUUUUCGGUGGAACUAAAUAUUAUUAUAUUA